rnacentral:rRNA from 1 species
CUACGGGCGGCAGCAGUGAGGAAUAUUGCGCAAUGGGGGAAACCCUGACGCAGCGACGCCGCGUGGAUGAUGAAGGCCUUCGGGUUGUAAAAUCCUGUCAGAUGGAAAGAACUGUUACAUGUCUAAUAUAUGUGUAACCUGACGGUACCAUCAAAGGAAGCACCGGCUAACUCCGUGCCAGCAGCCGCGGUAAUACGGAGGGUGCAAGCGUUGUUCGGAAUUACUGGGCGUAAAGCGCGCGUAGGCGGCUAUGUAAGUCAGAUGUGAAAGCCCAUGGCUCAACCAUGGACGUGCAUUUGAUACUGCAUGGCUUGAGUACUGGAGGGGGUGGUGGAAUUCCCGGUGUAGGGGUGAAAUUCGUAGAUAUCGGGAGGAAUACCGGUGGCGAAGGCGACCACCUGGCCAGAUACUGACGCUGAGGUGCGAAAGCGUGGGGAGCAAACAGGAUUAGAUACCCCCGUAGUC